AGUCCACGCCGUACACGAAGAACACGAUGUGUUGGGGAACAAUAGUUCUGCGGUGCCGCAGCACACGCAUUAAGUAUUCCACGGGGGGAGUACGUUCGCAAGAGUGAAACUCAGAGGAAUUGACGGGGACCCGCACAAGCGGUGGAGCAUGUGGAUUAAUUCGACACAACGCGAAGAACCUUACCUGCCCUUGACAUGUGAGGAAGCUCUUGGGAUGAGAGUGUGCCCGCAGGGGAGCCUGAACACGGGUGCUGCAUGGCUGUCGUCAGCUCGUGGCGGGAGAUGUUGGGUUAAGUCCCGCAACCACCGCCACCCUUGGCACUAGUUGCUACAAAGGGGCACUCUAGUGAGAGUGCCGGUGACAAACCGGAGGAAGGUGGGGAUGACGUCAAGUCCUCAUGGCCCUUAUGGGUAGGGCUUCACACGUCAUACAAUGGUCGGAACAGAGGGCAGCGAACUCGUGAGACGGAACCAAUCCCAGAAAACCGAUCGUAGUCCGGAUUGGAGUCUGCACCUCGACUGCGUGAAGUCGGAAUCGCUAGUAAUCGCGGAUCAGCAUGCCGCGGUGAAUACGUUCCCGGGUCUUGUACACACCGCCCGUCAAACAAUGGGAGUGGUGUUUACCACAACUCGUUAGCCUAACCGCAAGGAGGGCGGCGACCACGGUGAGCACCGUGACUAAUGUUAAGUCGGAACAAGGUACC
rnacentral:rRNA from 1 species